UGUUAACACUGUAAAAAAUGAUUCUGGGUUUUAGUCAAGUGGACAAAUAAAAUCAUGUCCUGUCAACUUGCAGUGUCUCACAACACAAUAGGAUGAGUUAUAUCAACCUCAACUUGAAGGGAAAUUGAAAACUUUAAAUAACAUAUAACAACAAAACGUUCAAAAGUUGUCAAGUUUCUUUCAAAUGCGCAUGUGCCAGAAACUCUACGUCAUGAUGACGUACUAUUUUACCGAAUGUGAGACAGACGCGCCAUUCGCCAUUUUCUGCACGAGAAGCUGCUGCUGAUCACACAAGAAAAGAUGAUGAAGGAGCCCCCUUUUUUAACGACUACAGAUGGGCAGAUGGGCUUUAUGGACCGCAAAUAAUGAAAUUAGUAUUCAUAUUUUGCGAACUUAAGACAACUUGAUUAAUAAUCAGGAGCCACACGCACUGCCAGACAAAUUUAUUCUCGCUGGACAUCGAGCUGCUGUCGAGACGUGAGCAGAAAGAUAAGUCGUCUUUGACUAUUGAUCAGUACAGUGGAAGCACAACUCCAUAUCGACGAGGUGGUGUUGCAAGAUUUGUAGACGCCAAAAACCUUCUUGCUUUACUAAGAACAUUCAAAAAGUUCGAGUUGAUCCUGUUCCAGAUUCUGUUGACGGCCUCAAGCUUGAACCUAAAAGCAGGCUCCAGCUGAAAGACACUUUUGACCUUCAAUAAGAAGAUGAAGACUUCCAUGAUUUCUGUAACCUUACAUGUGUAGCUGAUCUGUCCAAAGACAAGCUCAGCAAAGAAUUCACCAGACUUGUGUUAAAGGACCUGAGAAAGUCCUUUUUUGAAGGCCUAGAUAGUCAUCUCUCGAAGCUGAUGCAGUUAUUCAGGUCAAAACAUUCCAGAAAUGACUUCAAUACUGGAGAGCCUUAAUAAGGAUGUGAGUCCUUAUUUUCAUUGUUGUUACAACCCCAAUGAAUUUGAGGCAGGGGUGCUUAAUCCUGCUCCUGGGGAGCCAAGAUCCUGCAGAGUUUAGCUUCAACCCCAGUUAAACACACCUACUACAGCUAAUCAAGGUGUUCAGGAUCACUACAAACUUACAUGCAGACAACAAACUAAGGGAUGAGGACAGCAGCAUUGCUGGGCCUGCCGUGGUACAUGCGAGAGACUCCUUCAAAAUUCAUGAAGAUAUGCAAGACCAGUGAGCAUGAAGAGGAUUUGAUCAAGGGUGUGGUGAUUGGAAUUCUAAUGGUUGUGGGAAAUGUGAUGGAACCUCUCCCAGCGAUCUACAAUGACGUUGCCCUGGUGAUUGAGGAAGAAGUGGUAAUGCAUCACCUUAGUGAUAUACCUAAUGCUUUUCUGAACCUGAUGGGCCUGGACUAUCCAAACCUUGACUACCCAAAGGAAUUAAAAUUCACUUUUGAAGUGAUACAGCACCCGUUUAUAGGAGUGGGAUCAGACUUUUGCACUGCAAGAGUUCACUCUUUGAAGAGGAGGUUGCUGCGAUAAGACAGAAAACGAACAAUCUUUUUUCCUUCUUGCUACUGUUUAAAGGGAUAGUUCACCCAAAAAUGAAAAUUUGAUGUUUAUCUGCUUACGCCCAGGGCAUCCAAGAUGUAGGUGACUUUGU